rnacentral:tRNA from 1 species
ACUUUAUGAGUAUAUCUGUACACCUGCCUUCCAAGCAGAGAGUUUGAUUAAAUUCAAAUAAAGUA